UCAAUCUCGUGCGGCUAGAAGCCGCCUGUCCCUCUAAGAAGAAAUCAUUGCGUCGCCGACAGCACGAAUGCGGAUGUCGUCAUGCGACUAGUUAGCAGGCCAGAGUCUCGUUCGUUAU
rnacentral:rRNA from 1 species